rnacentral:misc_RNA from 1 species
AGCAGCCGCGGUAAUUCCAGCUCCAAUAGCGUAUAUUAAAGUUGUUGCAGUUAAAAAGCUCGUAGUUGAAUUUCGGGAUUGACACAUCGGUCGUGCCUUAAGGGGUAUGAACUGGUGUAGUCAAUUUCUCACCUUCUGGAGAACCGCGAUGCCCUUAAUUGGGUGUCGCGGGGAACCAGGACCUUUACUUUGAAAAAUUAGAGUGUUUAAAGCAGGCAUUUUGCUUGAAUACAUUAGCAUGGAAUAAUAAAAUAGGACGGCAUGAUUCUAUUUUGUUGGUUUCUAGGAUCACCGUAAUGAUUAAUAGGGAUAGUUGGGGGCAUUAGUAUUCAAUUGUCAGAGGUGAAAUUCUUGGAUUUAUUGAAGACUAACUACUGCGAAAGCAUUUGCCAAGGAUGUUUUCAUUAAUCAAGAACGAAAGUUAGGGGAUCGAAGACGAUCAGAUACCGUCGUAGUCUUAACCAUAAACUAU